rnacentral:lncRNA from 1 species
UCCUGGGGUUUUGAGGGAGGAGAGGUGUUGAGAGGUGACAAAACUAAUUUCUAAUAAGUGCCCCCCUUUAUUUCCAUAACAAGUCAUUGAGUCUGUACUCUGAAUAGUGACACCAGGGACCGAGAAGCUGCAGGGCUUGUCAGCCCAACCCCUGCAUGGUCUCCUUAGGGCUGGCCUUAAGGCAAUUGGAGCAAUUUGGCCAAACUGGGCCCCGUGAGCCACUCCUACGUGGGCCCCCACACCAGGGCAAUCUAGAUGGAUUUUAUUUAUAUCUCUAAUAUUCCAAUUUGGGCCCCAGAGCUUCAAAUUGGGCCCCACUGGCUAGCCCUGAGCCUCAUAGUUUGCUGGGCCUGAGUUGCCCUGCCCUCGCAUAAGUCUUGGGUUUGCAAUUUUGGGAGACGGGACACUGCAGUGCUGGGGAGCGGGCAGGCUGGCAAGGCCCCCUAGAUUUAGAGGCCCAAAUUGCCCUGCCCUUUCAUGAAGUCUUGGGUUUGCAAUUUUGGGAGAGGGGAGACAGCAGCGCUGGGGACAGGGCGGACUAGCAAGGCCCCCCAGAUUUAGAGGCCCUAGGCCUCAGCCUACUUAGCCUAUACGUAAAUCUGGCCCUGGCCCCAGAGGACCACCCUGGGCCCCGCAGCCUCCUGGGCAGAGGUGGAAGGGCAGCACAAAGAACCCAGGCAGCGGGAGGCAGGUCUAAGGGAUCCUUGCUCUCACUCACUGCUCACCGCUAGGGAAGGGAUGUGUAACCCCAGCACAUCUGCAAAGAGAAGGACAUGGGGACAGGUGAGUUCGUCCCUGAGCCCCUGGCAAGGCUAUUCCAAGAGUUUUCUCCUGGAUUCCAAGUUCUACUACAGGGGAGCGACACCCCAGGCCUUGGGGACCAAUCCUAGCCUCCUGCCCCGCAGAACAUGGCUCCCCAGGGAAGGCGCCCCUCUCGCUGACAACUGUCCCGCCUUGCCCCACAGCCCAGCCCCCUGCUUCCUCCAUUGGACCCCACAAAAUGGGGUGGUCCCGGGGGGCGGGGGUUGGGUUUCCAAAUGCUGGCCCAGAUGGACCUUGGGUUGGAUCCAGCCAUCUGGCUCUGUGUAUCUUUUGACUAGCUGCCCCCCUAGCCCAUUCCUGCCCUCCUCUGUCCCAAAAAGGAGGGACACUGGCUCACCUGACGCCAUGGGCUGCUUCGGGCCUUGCAGGGCUGUUGCUGUGGCUGAUCAGGCAUCUUAAGCACCUUAACUUAGAAGAGAGGAGCAGAGAGAGCAACUCAGAAGCUGGCAGCCCCAAUUCUUGGGGGGCGUUUGUGUGUGAGGAGGGGCGUUUGGCCCAAUUCUUUCCAUCUCUCUGCAGUUCAGUGACCUGAAAGGGCAUCGCCAGAGCUGGAAAGAGGCAGCCCAGAGCAUGAAGGGCUGGCAGAGAGAGAAAGGAGGCCCCAAGUGCUAUGGGUUCAAGAGCUCCAGCCCAAAGGAAAGAGAAGCAUUGCCAGCUGUUAAAGGGCUGCUCUGCCUCGUCUUAGGACAGCCCUGCCCUUCCUGGAGAGGGAGGAGACCCAUAGGAGGGUCCUCCAAGCAUCAAGGUGUCCCAGAAGAGGAGCAGAACAUGAGGAAGAUGGUGGAAUCUUCCAUGGAGCCAGAGAGACCCCCAGGAAGGGGGAGAAGGCCGAUGUCGUAGGGCAGUUGGAGAGAUGCAAAAUGGAGCCAGGCAGAGGUGUAGCGGUUGGAGAACUGGACUAGGAGGACCUGGGAGAGCAGGGUUUGAAUCCCCACUCAGCCAUGAAGCUCCCUGGUGGACCUUGGGCCAGCCUAGCCUACUUUGCAGGCCUGCUGUGAAGAUGACAAUUGGUGGCAGGGAGAACCAUGAAGGCCACCUUGAGCUCCUGGGAGGAAAGUGGGCUAUGAAUGUCCUAGUAAAUGUAAAUGAUGAGAGGGGAGAGAAAAGGGGAAGGCAGGGAAAGAGUGUGGAGGAGCUGAGUUCUCUGGAGAAGACUGGCCGGGUCAAUUUCCAGAGAGCUAAGGCUGUGCAGGGGACCCCAGGACUCAAACCCCGCCCCCAGGAGACCAAGAGAAAGCAAAGGAAUGCUACUUACAGUCUGCACAUUUUGUUCACGAAAAAUUCCCACCCUCCUCUCUAAACUAGUUAUCUAAAAUGCCCACCCAAGCCUAACUCUGAC